rnacentral:rRNA from 1 species
UACAGAGGGGGCAAGCGUUGUUCGGAAUUACUGGGCGUAAAGGGCGCGUAGGCGGCCGCCUAAGUCAGACGUGAAAUCCCUCGGCUCAACCGGGGAACUGCGUCUGAUACUGGAUGGCUUGAGUGUGGGAGAGGGAUGCGGAAUUCCAGGUGUAGCGGUGAAAUGCGUAGAUAUCAGGAGGAACACCGGUGGGCGAAGGCGGGGUCUCUGGGCCGGUAACUGACGCUGGAGGAGCGAAAGCGUGGGGAGCGAACAGG